CGACCAUGACCCCAGGUCAGGCGGGACUACCCGCUGAGUUUAA
rnacentral:rRNA from 1 species